rnacentral:rRNA from 2 species
GCCAGCAGCCAUAUCACCCUGCAAAUCACAACUAGCAACCCACUGAAGUGAAGCAGGUGGGAGCCUGGUCAGUACCUGGAUGGGAGACCUCCUGGGAAAAACUAAGAUUGCUGCUGGAA